UACGUAGGGUGCAAGCGUUGUCCGGAAUUACUGGGCGUAAAGAGCUUGUAGGUGGUUUGUCGCGUUGUUCGUGAAAUCUCACGGCUCAACUGUGAGCGUGCGGGCGAUACGGGCAGACUAGAGUACUGCAGGGGAGACUGGAAUUCCUGGUGUAGCGGUGGAAUGCGCAGAUAUCAGGAGGAACACCGGUGGCGAAGGCGGGUCUCUGGGCAGUAACUGACGCUGAGAAGCGAAAGCGUGGGGAGCGAACAGG
rnacentral:rRNA from 1 species